rnacentral:SRP_RNA from 1 species
GCUGGGCACAGUGGUGGGUGCCUGUAAUCCCAGCUACUCGGGAGGCUGAGGCAGGAGAAUCGCUUGAACCCAGGAGGUGGAGGUUGCAGUGAGCCAAGAUUGCGCCACUGCACUCUAGCCUGGGUGACAGAGCAAGACUCCGUCUCAA